AUACAAGGUGUUGCAAAAUUGGUAUAGGGGAGACCGGGGACAAAAGUAACAGCGGGUAGAAAGUAACAAAGACUCUGUGGACUUCCCCAAUAGCCUUAACGUCCCAAGCUACAGCUGGUAGUCAGCAUGCGAUGCCCCCCGCGCAUGAUAUCAUUUUCCGCGCCCGUGCCGCGGUGCAAGAUUGUUUUAGUGAGCAUUUCGUGAUUUUACACACCCAAAGUAAGUUUUUUGGUGUUUAUUCAUUUAGUGUUUACGUAGAAUUAAGAUGCCAAGAACCAUAUGACUAUUUGUUCAUUGAUUCAUUAUAAGAUUGUCUGU